rnacentral:rRNA from 1 species
UGUAACAGAAUGUAUUAAUGGGCCUUGUGCCUAUAAACUAUAUACAACUUUCAGCAACGGAUCUCUUGGCUCUCGCAUCGAUGAAGAACGCAGCGAAAUGCGAUAAGUAAUGUGAAUUGCAGAAUUCAGUGAAUCAUCGAAUCUUUGAACGCACCUUGCGCUCCUUGGUAUUCCGAGGAGCAUGCCUGUUUGAGUGUCAUUAAAUUAUCAAUCUUAUCAGCUUUUGUUGGUAAAGACUUGGAUAUGGGGGCGGAAAUUUUUUGGAGGUUUUUCGGAGCCUCCUCCCCUAAAAUGCAUUAGCUGGUUGCUCGCGCGGACAGUCUAUUGGUGUGAUAAUUAUCUACGCUAUUGACUGACUGCCAUAAAGUAGCACUGCUUCUAACUGUCUUCGGACAAUAUAUGACAAUUUGACCUCAAAUCAGGUAGGACUACCCGCUGAACUUAAGCAUAUCAAUAAGCGGAGGAAAAGAAACUAACAAGGAUUCCCCUAGUAACUGCGAGUGAAGCGGGAAAAGCUCAAAUUUAAAAUCUGGUGGUCUUUGGCCAUCCGAGUUGUAAUCUAGAGAAGCGUCUUCCGCGC